AUCCUCUUAAAUUUCCAUUUCUUAAAGAUGUGACGAUUUAUCACUGCUCUGAAAUGAAGACGUUUGUCAAACAGGGAAUAUCUGUGAGUCUUGAAAGUGAUGAUGAGGUGAAAGUAAUGUUCAAUUCUAAGGUUUUUUGUCCCAACUUGGAAAAGCUAUAUAUGUCGGGGGCUAACAGCAUAAAUGCUCUAUUCUCUUACCAACUUCCAACCUCCUACUUCAGCAAACUUGAAAUAUUACAAGUACAUUUUUGCGGAAAAUUGAG
rnacentral:misc_RNA from 1 species